UACUUAUAAAUCUUAAGUAACUUGUAACAAUGUAGAGAUAGAGAGAAAGCGAGAGAGAAUUAAUACCAUAUUUUAUAUAUAACUUUCAUACGUCAUCACCAGUCACAACACUAAACGCCUUCAGGCAACAGGUGAGACAACAGGCAGGUUCAUGUGAUAGAUAAAGACCUGGACGGAACAAUAUCACCUGGGUGACGUCACUGGUGACGCGCCACUUCACUGAGUCAGGGUCGCCACACAGCGCAAUCCUCCCACCCGCCACCACCAGCCUUCCAUUCUUACACCAUCUAACGAAACUAGUUUGUGGCAGCGACGUACUCGAUCACAUAUAAGGCGGCUCCCACUACUGACCAGACACAGUACAACUCCGACACCAGAUCAGUGAUGGCUGUGUCGCAGAGCUGUGUGGUGGUGAGGCGUGAGGGAGGCUCCCUUGACGGGUCCUGCCCCUGGUGACUGCAACCUACGCCUCACCAGGGGCAGGACACAUUGCUCCUCUACUCAGACUGAUCUGCCCAGGCGACACAUGGCGAGGACCUCCUGUACUGUUGCUGCUGGUGACUCAAACUGACUCACCUCACGACGCACACAACGGCGUGAGGUGUUCCAACUACCACUAUGAUGUGACCACAGAGGCUACUACACCUGUAGUACAGCACCAACACCCGUGGUACACCACCUCCACCCGUGGUACAGCACCUCCACCCGUGGUACAACACCACCACCUGUGGUACAACACCUCUACCCGCCACAGUCCACACGGGUGGUGCAGGAGUCAUGGGUGUUGUAGGUCCUGCGGCAGGUCUCCAACACCCCUGAAACACAGCAGGACUCCACCUCCUGCUCGACUCAGCGGCUCCAGGCAGCCUCCAUCAGGAGGUCCUGACGACUCAGGACUUGUCAACGAACCAUUUCCCUCACCUCACCUUGUGUUGUUGACACUGCAGUAUUGUAUUACAGCAAUAUGUAAAACUAAUCAUUUAUUGUCUAUCAUUCCCACAAUUCAUCAGAAUGUUGUAAUAUCACAUCAUCACUUGUCAAGGGUGUUCAUACAUUACCAUAAAAGUAAACAAAGUUUUUAUCAUAUUUACAUUUACCACCCCCCCCCCUUGGCUGUGAUCUAAUGGUUGUUAUUUCUGACUUUUUAUUUCUAUUCAAUUCAAAUUUCAAUAAAAAAUAAUAUUCAAGGA